rnacentral:lncRNA from 1 species
UUCUAAGUUCUGUUGCAAUAAUUUGUUAAUCAUUUCCAAUGAUUAUUUCCUUUCUUUUGUCCUAGUUUUGCGGAUCUUUUGCCUAGAGGCAACUGACGUAACAAACUCAUGGCUAUAUAGCCAAGUUUGAUCGUAAGGAAAAGUAUCAAUGAAUUAAAUCAAUCUCUUCUCUCUGAAAAUUCUUCUACUCCCUGGAGUGUUGCAAAGCUCUAAGUAGCUAUCCUUCUCUACACUACCAGACAUAUCAGUUUAGUUUAGACUUGAGAUACAUGAAUGCACAAUGGAUAUGUUAUAUCUUCUCUACACCCGGACCCUAGGUAUUCAACUUUCCACUCCAAAAUCCAAAACCCUAUAUUCUUCCCUAUUAUUUAUAUAUCCUAUCAUAUGUCCUCUAACUAGCUAUCUAACUAGCUGAUUAUUUUGUAUCUCCAUUGCAUGAUCAGUGGCAAAGAUCAUAUCAUGAAAAUUCUCAUUCUAAANNNNNNNNNNNNNNNNCCAACAAACAACUCUCUGCCACCGUGAUUCAGCCAAUACAUUGCAACCAAAUACCCUUUUCUGUUGAUCUUGUUACCUGAUCUGCCACACACCAAGAGAGGUAAAGCUAUGAAGGGUGAAAGAUAGAGUUUCAUGAAAAAUGAAAAUAAUAAUGCAAUCUGCCAUAUGUGGCGACGGUGGACGGUGGCAAGGCAUCCGCUAUGACUGCCAUGGCCGUGGCGGAGCAUUGGCAGCGGAGCACUCUGACAUUUCCUCGGCAGUAUGAAGGAAGACUAUCAUGGUAGACAGGUUGGAGGCAAGUCAACUGCAGGAUGGGAUGCCGCCGUACAUGACGGGUGGCCGGAUGUCACUUUAUGAAGUAACUGGUCUUUCUCCUCCCUUAAUUCCUUAUUUAUUACUUUAGUUGCAGAUUUUGUACAAUUAUUUCAAUUAUUUUUUUUAAUUUUGCUUAUAUUCUUG